AUCAUGGCUCAGAACGAACGCUGGCGGCAUGCCUAACACAUGCAAGUCGAACGAGACCUUCGGGUCUAGUGGCGCACGGGUGCGUAACGCGUGGGAAUCUGCCCUCUGGUACGGAAUAACUCAGGGAAACUUGAGCUAAUACCGUAUAAUGACUUCGGUCCAAAGAUUUAUCGCCUGAGGAUGAGCCCGCGUCGGAUUAGCUAGUUGGUGAGGUAAAAGCUCACCAAGGCGACGAUCCGUAGCUGGUCUGAGAGGAUGAUCAGCCACACUGGGACUGAGACACGGCCCAGACUCCUACGGGAGGCAGCAGUGGGGAAUAUUGGACAAUGGGGGAAACCCUGAUCCAGCAAUGCCGCGUGAGUGAUGAAGGCCUUAGGGUUGUAAAGCUCUUUUACCCGGGAUGAUAAUGACAGUACCGGGAGAAUAAGCCCCGGCUAACUCCGUGCCAGCAGCCGCGGUAAUACGGAGGGGGCUAGCGUUGUUCGGAAUUACUGGGCGUAAAGCGCACGUAGGCGGCUUUGUAAGUUAGAGGUGAAAGCCCGGAGCUCAACCCCGGAAUUGCCUUUGAGACUGCAUCGCUAGAAUUGUGGAGAGGUGAGUGGAAUUCCGAGUGUAGAGGUGAAAUUCGUAGAUAUUCGGAAGAACACCAGUGGCGAAGGCGACUCACUGGACACAUAUUGACGCUGAAGUGCGAAAGCGUGGGGAGCAAACAGAUUAGAUACCCU
rnacentral:rRNA from 1 species